UGCUGCGGGGCAGGGCCGCCCUCCCCCCCGCCCCCCGCGCCGCGCUUGCUCCGGCGGUGACAUCACGCACGGUGCGAGGCCGGGCUGGAGGGGAGACGGGCUGUCCUUACCGCAGGGCACAAGUCUGCGAUCAGGUGACAAGGCGGGAAAGAGCCGAAAGGCAACAGCUGUUCCCGGGUCUGAGCAAGAGAUCUUGCUUUGCUUUGCCUUUUCAUUCCUAGGACUUUGUGGGAAUGGACCCGGCAUCAGCACGCAUCGAGGAACUGUGGAAUCUUUUCUAGGAGCCACAGACUGGAUCAAGACUAGUGAUGAAGAUGGGCAUCCCACUGUGGUUCAUGGGAAUGGGAGUGGACUCCAGGGUGGGUCCCUGGGAUUCACCCUGAGAUCCAAGAGCAAUCGAUUGCAAGUGCCAGGCCGGUUGUGCUUGGCAAAACUACAACUCCAAGCAAAAGAAACUGAAUCUCCAACAAACCAAGGCAGAGGUCAAAGGAGGACCCCCAAACAAAUGGUGAGAAGAGGAGUUGAAGGAGAUUCAACAUCUCAAUGAGGCCCACAACACGUGCCGCUUCUUUGCUGCCACUGAAGCCAUCUACGGUCUGAGCACCACCUCUCUGGAGACCUAAGGAUGGGAGAGACCUGACCAAGGGAAGGGGAGCUGUCAGCGCAGGUUGGAAGGAGCAUGUUGAAGACAUUCUCAAUCGAGACUGCUGUUGACAAGAGUGCUCUCCACUCCAUCCCCCAAAACCCAGACAGAGAUGAUCUCAGACCCCCCCUCCAACCACUGACGAGGUGAGGAAAGCCAUCAAGCAGCUGAAGAACAAGUCAUCUGGAGCAGAUGGAAUCCAGCUCCAUGCCCUCAUCUUAAGGAUCUGGAGUGAUGAGGAAAUCUCAGGUGACCUCAGGGAUGCCUUGAUCAUGGCAAUCUCGAGAAAGGAGAUAAGGCUGACUCUGGGAGCUAUAGAGGGAUCACCUGGAAUCUCAGGGUGGGUUUAGGGCAUCAAAAGGCACAACUGACAUGAUCUCCGAGUUUGCCAGCUGCAGGAGAAAUGCUGGGACCAACGUAAGCCUCUCUACAUGGCCUUGUUUGACCUCAUGAAAGCUUUAGACUCUGCCAGCCAAGAAGUGCUGUGAAGGCUCCUUCUAAGGAACAGAUGCCUACUGAAAUUGUCACCAUUCUCUGCCUCUGCCUGCUCUGUGACGGUACACAAGCGGUGAUUCUCAGCAAUGGAUCUAUCACAGAUCCCUUUGAGGUUAAGAUGGAAGUUAAGCAAGGCUGCUAAUCACUCCAACACUCUUCUCAAUAUUUCCUGCCUCAAGGUUACAUCUGACCACCAACAAGCUUCAGGGAUGUCCACAAGGCCAACUUAAAAAAAAAUACAAUGUUGAUGUCAACCAGGACCACUCCACAUGGAGGAAGACUCUGCUACAGGCAUCUCUGUAUUUUGAAACCUCAGGAUGACAACAGGAGAUGUGAAAACCAGCGGCGGCAGAAGCAGCGUGUCAUGGACCAAAUCAAGAAUCCGGCACCACCCACCCCACCUGGAAACAUAUGUCCAAGCUGCAGUAGAGUCUAUUGAUCCUGGACAGGCCUCAGCAGGGAUCCUGGCUUUCUAUUUCACACAGAAAAUUGUGGAUUUUCUUUGAAGUGGGAAACCGCGCGUUUCCCCUUGCAGGCUGGCAGAGUUUUGGGUGGUGCUAGUGUGAGUGUGGCUGGGGCGCAGGGGGCUGGAGUGCUCUGUGGCUCCGCAGCAGCCGGGGAGAGCGGCAGCAGUUGCAGGUUUCGGCACGGACUCUGGCUGCAGACUGGUGCUCGGUCUGAGCUCUGGCUAGGAGAGGCUGUGGCUGUGGCCGUGGCUGUGGUGCAGCAGGUCCCCGGGCUGCCCAACAGGAGCAAAGCCUUCCUCUUCCCAAGUACCAUGUGUGCUUCCCCCACCCCCAGCCCAGGGAUCUGGGCUAAACUUUGGCAGGUUACCCUCUGCUCUGGGCCUGUGUGCACACGUUCAACCAGCAAGUGUUCUCUCUGCUUCCAAGGUGGCUGAGUAAUGCCGACCCUGCCUUUGCUAAGGCACAGCUCCUGCAGUUUUCCUCCAUCCCUGGCACAGGCAGGGCUGGGGGGUGGGCAGACAAGUGAGGCAUAGCUUCCAAGAAGUGUACUGGCAGGGGGCUGCAGUUCUGGAGUGAGGGGCAUCCCCCAGGGCUGAGGGUGUGGGGGUGGGGGGCUGUGGGUUUGGGGUGAGGGGCACUGGUGGGGAGGAGAAGCUUCAGAUUUGGAGUGAGGGGCACUGACAGGGCCAGGGGGGCUGGGGCAGAGGGCUGUGGGACAGGAGUGAGGGGUACUGGUGGGGAUAAGGAGGAGCCGUGACUUGGAAGUGAGGGUCAAUGGCAGGGGCAGCAUAUCAGGGCUGCUCAGCACUACAACGCGGCUGGGGGGGGGGGCAGCCACAACUGGACCCACAUCCUGGUGAGUGAAGAGAGCAGGGCUAAAAACCCCCAAAGCAAACUCCAAAUAUUUAGAAGAUAUUUAGAAUUUAUUUUAUAAUAAUGAUGGAGGCACUGGUAGGCUUCCUAAUUCGUUUAAAGUUGCAAAUAUGUCAAUAAUACGUUGUGUUCAACUGAUACCACCUAUGUGUAUAGUGGUGUUUCAUGUUACUCACAGAAAACCACAGAUUUUGGUGGGGUUUUUUUAAUCGGAGAAUGUAGGGCUUUUUAAUGGAGAAAACCAGGAUCCCCGGUUGUGACGGGUUCCUCAAAAACAAAAUCAGAUUGUUCAUAUGUAAACACAACGAUACUAUAAUCCAAAAUUGAAAAUAUUUUCUGAGGAAAACCACCUUUUCAGGAAACAUUAAUUCUAAAGGAAAAAAACAGAAAAAAAUCUGUUCCCAGCCGGAAAAUUGUAUGGGGAUUUGGUAACUUGGUGUGGAACUAUGGUGAUUUUCAGGAAAGUUGUGAUUUAUUUGUGGUGAUUUGGGAACUUUCUUGUAGAAAUGAUAUUUCUGUGGAAAACCAAUGAUUCUGCAUUAUGGUCUGCAAACUUUUUGUGCAAAUGUGUGUGGAAAUAUGGUGAUACUUCUGUGGAAAAUUGUGUGGUGGGUUGGUAACUGUGCUAGUAUGGCGAUUUCCUCGUGUAGAAAAUUGUGUGCUGAUUCUGUGGUGAUUUGGGAACAUUUUUGGGGUCAUGCGUGGAAAUACGGUGCUAUUUGUGUGGUGAUUUGGUAAUACGGUGUAGAAAUAUGGGAUUUUUUUUUUGUCCGUGAAGAAAAAUGGCAAUUUUCUGUGGUGAUUUGGGAACUCUGUGUAGAAAUGUGUGUGGGAAUACGGUGAUGCUUGUGGAAAAUGGUGUGCUAAUUUGGGAACUAGGUGGAGAACAGGGGUGAUUGUGUGGUGAUUUAGGGACUUUGUAUAAAAGUGUGGAAAUACUGUGAUACCUGUGUGGAAAAAUGGUGAUGUGUCAACUUUGUAAAUACGGCGACUGUAUGUGGUGAUUUGGGAAUGUUUUGUGGAAAUGUGUGUGGACAUAAGGUGGGUGGGGUGUGACAGAGAGUGAAAUGGGGGUGGAUGACUGUGCUGGGGGCUAAGCCAACACCACUGGUUCCAGGUGUUCUUUUAGACACAGUCCCAGCGCAAGGGCCCUUUAUGGUUAGGAAUUUCGAGUUCAUUUGAUUCCCGAAGCUGCGCUCAUCUCUAGCGUCCUUAUGUGAGGCACCGAUCUGUUCUGCUCAGGAUUGUUCAUGGCAGGCGUUGGGUUGGGUGAAGAGGCACAAGACAAAUGAGAAGGAAUUCUUCUGAAUGAUAUGCUGGGUUCUAGGAGUAGUACCCUUGAGCAAGACUUGUCGGAGCAGCUGCAGACAGUGAAGCAUACACAGGUACACUUGCAGCUGGUGUGGGCUCAGGUUCCUCAGCAUCUGUUGUCCAGAUAAGGCAGAUUGCAUACUUGAUGCACAGGCCUUUGUGUCUUGGUGGUUUAAACAUAUGCAGGGUCAAACAUCUUUGUAGCUUUGCCUGUUUCUCUAAGAGAGAUCUCUCCUGGCUAAGUCAGCUGUGAAACCAAGUCCAGAGGCUGUGGUGGGCAUGGGCGGUGGUCAUCUUACUAUCAUCACUGUGGCAGCUAGCAGUGUGAGCAUUUUACCUCGUGCGAAAUUGUCUGAUGUGGGUCUGCCCUUUUCAUAAGUUAGUCCUUGCGAACCUGUCCUUGGAACCAGCAUAUUGGUGAGGAGGUGCAGCGUGGCAAUCAGCACCAAAAGGCUUGAAGGCCCUCAACGCUGGUCAUGUCUGCAGUGGAUUACUGUGCGAGCUGCUCAGAAACAGGCAUUUGGGGCCUGCAACAGUCUCUUGGAAACAUCUGAGGCAACCCUGGCAGCAGGUGAGUGCGUGUUCCUGCCUUUGACAUGCUCAGGGAAGAGAACGCAGCAGCGGUUGCCUUGGCUUCUGACUGGAUGCAUAUUGUUCGCUUGGGCAUGUCCAAAGCUACCACCUCCAGUGACUGCAGCUCUCACCUCCAAACUACUUGAGCGCCUUGCAAAAGCAAUGGCCUGCCCCUGGGCUAGUCUGAUACCAGUGGCCCACACUCACAAACUUGCUGUUGUACCUCCCUGUGCCUGGAUUAGGUGUUGAGCACUUGGACCUCUGCAAGCUUCAGCAUGUAGCCUGUUGUCCUCAUGUAGCCAACACCAUAGUCCCUGUGGUCAUAAGGCCCCUGUCAGCCCCAAAAGCCUCCACUGAAACCCCUCAUCCGGUCCCAGUCUGCAGCAAGGCUGCACCAGUAUUUCCCAGCAGCAAUUGGAGAGUUGAAAUGGGGAUAGGGAAGAGCCUUCCUUGCCCCUGUGCUCUUUACUUCUCCCAUCUUUAAGCUGUUUGUCUGUCUCAGUGCCUCUUUUCUCUCUGACUCUGCUUAGCCCCUCUGUCCACUGUAUAUGCUGGGAGGUGGUGCAAGGGGGUGCACAUGGGCCUCCACUUGCUUCCAGGCUUAACCUCUUUACAGAGAACCUUGCAAAGUACCUCCAGGUCUGCAUCAGUGCAAGUUAUAUGGGGCAAGGUGCAUAGGUGAGGAAAUGGCUCUGUGUUGUCCUCUGUCAACUCCCAGGGAAACACUUUGGUAGGGAUCAAGUAGAUUACAGGGUAGUAAAACCACUGUAGCUACACUACAGUAAACUACCACAAGAAACAUACACACCACACUGAUAGCCUCGAGUACGAGUUUAAAAAUACCGUUGGUGAUUCUUGCAAUUAAAAUAAGAUAAUAGGCCUACACAAUACAACUCAAAUUAGACCCGUCUGUGUCCAUGUGUGCACCUGUGUAUCUCUGUGUCUGUCCCUCACUCCUGACCCACAGUACCCCACAUCCUGCAGGGACCCCCCCCCGGGCUCCAAACCCCACACACAUACACCUACAGCCCUCCACACCUUCACAAAUAACACCCCCACACAUAGUUAAAAAAAUAGCCUCUCAUGCUUUACAUACCAAAUCUCUUGAUUUUUUUUUUUAACAGUUUGGCUCAUGAUUUUUGACAGGGUGGGGUUGACAAUACUGCAUUGAUUUUAUAGCCCCCCCACCCACCAUCUGGUCCACAUCUGAGACCUACAGGUAAACAACCUGCUGUUCCCUGGAGCCCUCCUAAAUUUGCAUUCCUACAGAACAGGUUUCUGAAGUCUGGUUUGUUUGUUUUUUGUACCUGACUCCUGAGGAAUGUCUAACCAUCUUUCAUAUCUCUGACCAUGUUUAAUUUCUUUUUUUUUUUGCCUGAGAGAGGGUGUGGGUGUCCAAAAGCUUGCAAAUAAUAACUUUUUUGCACCUAUUUAGUUGGUCUAAUAAAAGAUAUUGCAUCUACCCAAAGCCUCCAGCUCCAGGUCAACAUUCCCCUCCCUGCACCCCUACCUGUUUCUCACCCAUGGUCUUGACUUGCCUGACUCCCCACGUACCUCUGCACCAUUUACCUGCUACAUUCAUCCCCUUUCUCUUAAGAGAAGAAGGCUGCUGCCUGAAGUACACGCCUGCCUUCUUCCCGCCUUUCCACAAAGCAGUUACUUGCUUUUGGUCUCAUCUAGUUAUAAAGGUAGGAGGAACAGAUUCUUAUUGCACCCUCCCAGGCAACUGCUUGUGGUGCAAAUGCAGCCCAAGUCCCUUCCACACAGUGGCCCUCCUUGCUGUCACCCCGCGGGGCUCGUGUGGGCCCCGGCUAUGACCUCCGCCUCCCCCGGACCUGGCAGCUUCCCAUUUCCGACAACGUGCGCUCCAAUCGACAUAUCAGCCUUCGAUUGCUUUUGUCUGUGGCCACUGCUUAUGCGCCCUUACCACUGUUAUCAGUAAGUUCGAUAUUCAGUUGGUCAACCUCUCACCGCGCUGCGCAUGCGUACGUGCCUUGCCCUUUGGGGGGCGAAUGGGAUGCGCCAUCUCUUCCUAAAUUCACAUGCGUGUUCAUGGCCCUUAUCGAUGUUCUCGUCGCGCGAUUGGGUGCCUGCCCAGCGCAUGCGCACUGGGUCUCCCCAGUGAUGGUUUAACGCCGCGUCCCGUGUGGGCUAGAGACGUGGGGAGCGUCCAUCCCUUCCCUUCUCCAGGAUUGGCCCCAGAGGAGACUAUAGUGCUCAUUCGCAGUGCGCAUGCUCGUUGAGACUGGCGCCUCCAUAGUUUCGACGUCGGUCAUGUCGUCACUGCAUGUGUAACUAUGGAAACCCGUCCAUGACUCCUGCCCUGGCAGCGUCCCUGAUUCCCAGGACUCAUACACCAAUCCACAAUAUUGGUGUUUGAUGCAUUUUGUCUGCGAGCAUUGCGCACGCGCGCUUACAAGUACCACGGAUAAUUUCGGUAUUCCCCUGAUCAGCGUCUCACCACUCUACGUUUCCCUUGAACUUGCUUGUUAAAGGGAAACGCUAUGCAACGCCUCUUCCCAAGCGCGCAUGCGUAUUAAUGGGUACUCAUCGAUAUUAUCCUCGCGAGAUUGUGCGACUGCGAACCUGCCCUGUGUAGCGCAUGCGCAGUGGGCGCUCUCUCUCCGCUUUACCGCCGCGGCCGCUUUCCCGCGCAGCGGUGCGGCGUCCCAGGUGGCAGCGUCUGUGAGCCCGGAUUGAGAGGGGAGCGGUCUUUCCUGUCCUUUCCACCAAGUACUGGCGGGGGGGGGAGACGGGACUGUAGCGCUUAUUCCCAGUGCGCACGCGCAUUGAUACUCGGGUUUCGAUAGUUUCGGCGCUCGUCCUGUCGUGAUUAACGCGUUUCCAUGGUUUCAGAGGCAAUGAUUUCGGCAGCUGGCAGCGGCCGGUUCCCAGGACGCAUGCGCAUUCCUUUUUACCAGUCCACACUAUCAGCGGCCGAUGUGUUGAACUGCCUCUUCGGUGCACGCGCUCUUAAACUAUGGAUGAAUUUAGCCUUGAACUGAUGAACCCUCCUCCGGCGCAUGCGUACAUGCCAUUGAAGGGCAAAGGUUUUUGUUUUUUUAACCUUUUAUUGGAAAACAAACCAAGCCAGACAGUCUGAAACGACCCUACCGGAGGCCUCGCGGAGGAAGAUACAACAUAACAUUUUCAAGGAUUACAUCAUAGAAAAGCAGGCUCCUCCUCCUCACCUGUCCUUGGAACCAGCGUGUCAGUGAGGACUCGGGGCAGAAGGGCCCCCAGGAGCUGUCGUGCCUGCAAGGGUCACUGCGGGCACUCGGACGGGUGUGCGGGGCGUGAAGUGGUCCCUUAGACAUACCCAAGGUGCGACGGGCAACAGGCGAGUACGUGUUUCUGCCUUUAACACGGCCAGCAGACAGAACACACCAGCAGUUGCCUCGGCUUCUGCCUGGAUGCCUGUCAUUCGUGUGCCCGGCUCCAACUGUGACACCUCCAGUGACUGCAGCUCUUGCCUCUGACUGCUGGUAGAACUCUCCAAAAGUAAUGACCUGCCCCAAAAGUAUGGACUGACCCCGGCCCGAGUGGACCUACCAGACCCUACGUGCACAACCCUCACCUUGGCCUGCCCUGCACUUGCUCCAGACCACACACCCAUGCUGAGCAGCAGCCACAACUGAGCAGAAGCUGCUGGUUGGUGCAGGGGAGAAGUGGCCCCACCCGCUCACUGUGGCUGGGCCCUUGUUGCUGCAGCUCUUUGGCUGCCAUGCCCAGGCUGCCUUGCGGCUCUUCUCCGUUGCCAUCACUGCUCCAUCUGGGCUGGCCAGUGGGUCACUGGUGGCAGUUCAGAUGAGACGCAGGGCAGCCUGGGUGUGGGUUUCAAGGUGCUGCAGUAAGAAAGCUCUUGUACCUGUGAUUGCAGGGGGCAGAGGGAGCUGCUUUUCCCUCAUGUCAAGCUGUGACUUCUGCUUGGCCAUUGUCACUGCUCAGCUGCCGGCAAGCUGUGCAAGUGGGUUCUAGCUGCUCUGGAGCUGGUCUGCUCUGCCGGGCUGACUCCAGAGUGUAUGUGGGGUGGGUUAGGGGCAGGGCUGUGUGUGUGGGUCUUCACCAGAACCAUGGGGCUGUGGCCGGGGCAGUGGCAACCGGAAGGAGCUGUCACUGCCUGGGCUACCUAGAAAGGUAGUCCAGCUACAGGCCUCCUGCAUGGCUAGGGGGUGACAGGAUGUGCCACAGGCUGGAUGACACCUGGGCCAGGUGGGACCUGCCACGUGCUGGAUCCAGCCUGUGAGCCAUAUUUUGCCCAACCCUGGUGUAAGUGAUUGCACAUGUUAUACCCAGGAUAUCUCUGGAGAAGUACAAGAAAACCAAAGCAAGUUUCUCUGAAAAAUCAACACUGGUUUAUUGGGAUGCUAGUAAUUAGGCAUCUUUGCCAAGAACAGCUAUAUACAGCAAAGAAUACAGAUGUACUUGGUACUGGGUGGCAAGGUGCCAGCGCCCCUUGCAAUCCAUCCUCUGGGUGCGAGGCUGGUUCCAGACUUCCACACCUCUGCCUGUGUGGGGGGGUUUUGUUCCAGAAUGUCUUGGCUAAUUGAGUAGAGAGCAGGGAAACUGAGUCAUGGGCUGUGACCAUUGUUCUUUCCUGAGGUCACCUCAUUAGCCUUGCAUGUGAUCACUGGCCCCUACGUUUCAGCUCCCUUGAAACUUGUCUCAUAUUCUACUCGUGGUGUUUUAGACUGAACUGUUUCUGGGAUCAGAGUAGCUGGAAGGAGGAGUAGUGUUGUGUCAUGUAGCAUAGCAAAAAAGAUGAGGGGUGUUAGGGACUCCCUAAGAAUUCUCGCUGUGGACUCGGACAGACCCUUGGUACUUUAGCGGCCACAGAAUAUGGUUCUGCAUUGAGGGGCCUUGUUUGACGCCUAAGUAUAAUCGUUACAGAGACAAAUUCCCAGAUAUUGUGUCUGUGUGUGUGAAUCGGAGGAUUAUGUACAUUACUUUUAACCUUUUAGCUAUUAGCAGUAAGUUUUAGCCAGGAUUUCCUUGGCUGAUGUCAGCAUAUCCAGUGCAGCUCAGAGCUGGAAUCACUUGGAGUUUAGAAGAUGACCUUCCUUUAUACAGUUUCAGCUGUGUGUGAAUGGAACCCUUUACAUGGGUUUUUUAAUCGGUGAUGCAUCUUAUCAAGAAGCAGGUACUGUUCAGUCUUUUGGGAGGGACAAGACUACAGCCCUUUUAUGAUCGGGUCUCCCUUAUGAGCUUAGAAACAGAAUUCUGGGAAAGUUGCAAUUACGUCACUGGUUAUCAGGGAUCCUGGUUUUCUCUGAUAAAAAAAACAACCCAAGUUCUCUGAUGGAAAACCUCAACAUCUAUGCUUUUCUGUGAUUAAAAUGAAAUGCCACUAUGUAUACAGGUAUCGGUUGAACACUAUGUUUUAUUGAUACCUUUAGCACUUUAAAGCCAUUUGGAAUUGUACAAGUGCCUCAAUCAGUAGAAUAAAAAAAUUCUAAAUACCUAUA